GUGGGGAAUAUUGGACAAUGGGGGGAACCCUGAUCCAGCCAUGCCGCGUGUGUGAAGAAGGCCUUUUGGUUGUAAAGCACUUUAAGCGAGGAGGAGGCUACCGAGAUUAAUACUCUUGGAUAGUGGACGUUACUCGCAGAAUAAGCACCGGCUAACUCUGUGCCAGCAGCCGCGGUAAUACAGAGGGUGCAAGCGUUAAUCGGAUUUACUGGGCGUAAAGCGCGCGUAGGUGGCCAAUUAAGUCAAAUGUGAAAUCCCCGAGCUUAACUUGGGAAUUGCAUUCGAUACUGGUUGGCUAGAGUAUGGGAGAGGAUGGUAGAAUUCCAGGUGUAGCGGUGAAAUGCGUAGAGAUCUGGAGGAAUACCGAUGGCGAAGGCAGCCAUCUGGCCUAAUACUGACACUGAGGUGCGAAAACAUGGGGAGCAAACAGGAUUAGAUACCCGAGUAGUCC
rnacentral:rRNA from 1 species